rnacentral:siRNA from 1 species
UUACAAUAAGCCUUGUUCCAUUGC